ACAGAGGGUGCAAGCGUUAAUCGGAUUUACUGGGCGUAAAGCGUGCGUAGGAGGCUUGUUAAGUCGGAUGUGAAAGCCCCGGGCUCAACCUGGGAACUGCAUUCGAUACUGGCAAGCUAGAGUUCGGUAGAGGGUGGUGGAAUUCCGGGUGUAGCGGUGAAAUGCGUAGAUAUCCGGAGGAACAUCGAUGGCGAAGGCAGCCACCUGGGCCUGAACUGACUCUGAGGCACGAAAGCGUGGGGAGCAAACAGG
rnacentral:rRNA from 1 species